rnacentral:rRNA from 1 species
GACGAACGCUGGCGGCGUGCCUAAUACAUGCAAGUAGAACGCACAGUUUAUACCGUAGCUUGCUACACCAUACACUGUGAGUUGCGAACGGGUGAGUAACGCGUAGGUAACCUGCCUGGUAGCGGGGGAUAACUAUUGGAAACGAUACCUAAAACCGCAUAAUAUUGAUUAUUGCAUGAUAAUUGAUUGAAAGAUGCUAUUGCAUCACUACCAGCUGGACCUGCGUUGUAUUAGCUAGUAGGUGAGGUAACGGCUCACCUAGGCGACGAUACAUAGCCGACCUGGGAGGGUGAUCGGCCACACUGGGACUGGGACACGGCCCAGACUCCUACGGGAGGCAGCAGUAGGGAAUCUUCGGCAAUGGACGAAAGUCUGACCGAGCAACGCCGCGUGAGUGAAGAAGGUUUUCGGAUCGUAAAGCUCUGUUGUAAGAGAAGAACGGGUGUGAGAGUGGAAAGUUCACACUGUGACGGUAUCUUACCAGAAAGGGACGGCUAACUACGUG